UUCUCUCUGUGUUUCCAGUUAGGGUAGGCGCAAGUUACAAGGCGGAAAUGGAGGAAAUGGAGCACAGCGGUUUGUAGCUCUCACGUGGUUGCUUAUCUGCUGACCCACCUUAAUGAUGUGGAGCCACCUUACAGCUGCCCCGGCAACUUCUCUACCUUUCCAAGAAUCCUCUCUCAGCUUCUCCAACCCUGAAGCCAGGCGUUAUGUUUAACUCCCACGUGCAGAGCACCAGCUUCUCCUACAGGAGGAUGCCUAUGCCAGUGUGGUCAGAGAUGCCCACACCUCAGAGAGAGCCCUCCCCUGGACUGGAGGUAUAAGGACAUGAGCCAGGUAACCGCGCCUGUGGAAAGUCCACCGGUUCAUUUUGAGAAUUCGUGUUAGUAUUCAUGCAGCAGCUGGGGCCUUACCUGGGAAGAGAUAAAUAGCCCCCAAGCAUUUGCCUUGUAAAACCUUGCCAACAACCCAUCAUUAAAACUUAAAGUAAAUGUU